GGCCGUGCUGUGACGAGGAAGGGACAAGAAACAGUGAGUUGGAAAUGUAAAAAGAAGGUGAGACAGAGUCAGAGAUAUGUGGGAUUGUUCACAGGACUGCAACUUAGCAAAGGUAUGGAAGACUUUUUAAAUAACAUGGGACUGCAAUGUAGAGAAGUAUUUUAGGUAAUGAGGUGCUGAUGCUUGAAGCCCCCUGAAUUUUUUAAAGAAGCACUCUUGAAUGCUGUGGCCAUCUCAACGACGACAAAGAAUGAGUCCUUCACAGAAUUCCUACUUGGGAGGAGAAAGCUGGAAAAUAACUAGAGAUGCUCCAGGGGUCCUACCUGUGUACCUAAAAUUAAUGUCUACAUCAUCAUCCCACGAGCACAUCAAGACUAAGCUAAAAGGAUGAACAGGACAUUGCUUCAAGGAAAAUAAUAAAGUUGAAAUAAAACUGCAUGGAAGAUUGUGAAAUGGCACCAGUUCAGAGAUAAUUUUUUUCUCACCCCCAAACAAAAGAAUUGGUUGACUAAGGAUUUACUGUCAGUCUCAUUUCUUGGUAUCAAAUACGGAUCCCUUCAGGUUCACACUGUCACAGUAAGGAAAGCACAGGUCUGUUUGGGCAAAAGUCUUUAUGCACACAUGUUUGCAAUUGAUCUUACGUGAAAGGGAAUCCUUCAGUCUGGGAAUAUGAAAAGCCCAUUUAUUAUGCUGUUAUGAUGCUAAUCAUAAGGCAUUUACAUCUACAGCUUUGUUCCAUGAGGGACUCUCUGCCAAACAUCACAUUGGCACUUACAGAGACAAAAGACAAUUUCCACAUAGCUGGAGGUUUAACUGUGCACGUGACGAAAGUGCUUAGUGACAUAAUUUCAGGGAGUAACUGGUACACGUGUAUCACAUGAGGAUUUUACCUAAACACUGGCCUUCUAACAGCCAGUAGCCUUCAGUGCAGGAGCAGGUAUAGCCCCCCUCAGUAUUUAUGCAGAUCUGAGUGGGGUUACACUGGUGAGAAUCUGAAGCGCAUUCAUCCACAUCUGCAACAAAGAAAUACAGAAGGAAAAUGUUAAAAAUAGCAACAACAAAAGAUCUUACAUAUUGUACAGUGUGUACACUGCCUCUGUGCAAGGAAUCAGAAUUCGGAUGAGUAGAGACAAUGGCCGUAACCUGAAGGAAAAUUCACAAAAAUAAAUGUCUGAGGGCAGUGAGAACUGAGGAUGCACAUCAAAUCUCUCAUUUUUGCAGGUGACCCAGUGUUCCAGUUUUUCUU